rnacentral:rRNA from 1 species
CCUACGGGGGGCAGCAGUGGGGGAUAUUGCACAAUGGGGGAAACCCUGAUGCAGCGACGCCGCGUGGGUGAAGAAGCGCCUCGGCGCGUAAAGCCCUGUCAGCAGGGAAGAAAAUGACGGUACCUGAAGAAGAAGCCCCGGCUAACUACGUGCCAGCAGCCGCGGUAAUACGUAGGGGGCAAGCGUUAUCCGGAUUUACUGGGUGUAAAGGGAGCGCAGACGGCGAUGCAGGCCAGGAGUGAAAGCCCGGGGCCCAACCCCGGGACUGCUCUUGGAACUGCGUGGCUAGAGUGCAGGAGGGGCAG